UGUGCAGUCCAUCUCCCCAAUCCAGUAUGGGUUUACACCUGUCAGAUGUGGAGAGAGAGGCUGGGUUAUUUCUUGAGCACUGGACACUUCUGCACAUUCAUUUUAUCAGAUUGUCUGCUAUUAACGAGGAGCGUCUGAAUUUUACGAAGCCUCUUUUGUUCAUGAAUAGUGCUUCUAGUGAGUAACAGGGGCUUUGCCACCGAGCACUUCAAGACUCUGGGAGAACUUGUAUCUGCAUUAUAAUAUCCACUCAUUGCUGUGAAAACAAAAUGAAGUCUGUGGGAGUGCAUUAUAAGCAAAAUUUGUCUUUAAGCUGAAUCUGCUUGGCUGAAAGAUAAAAAUCAAAGGUGGAGUUCAAGAGCCUUCUUGAAUGCAUUUUUGUCACAGAGGGUCAGGGACCAAAGGAAGCAAGGACAGAGAAGUUCCUAGAACUAAGUGGAGCCAUGCCA